AUUGAACGCUGGCGGCAUGCCUUACACAUGCAAGUCGAACGCGAAAGGGGGGCAACCCCUGAGUAGAGUGGCGAACGGGUGAGUAAUGCAUCGGAACGUAUCCAGUAAUGGGGGAUAACCCAUCGAAAGAUGGGCUAAUACCGCAUACGCCCCGAGGGGGAAAGUGGGGGACUCGCAAGAGCCUCACGUUAUCGGAGCGGCCGAUGCCGGAUUAGCUAGUUGGCGGGGUAAGGGCCCACCAAGGCGACGAUCCGUAGCUGGUCUGAGAGGAUGAUCAGCCACACUGGGACUGAGACACGGCCCAGACUCCUACAGGAGGCAGCAGUGGGGAAUUUUGGACAAUGGGGGCAACCCUGAUCCAGCCAUGCCGCGUGAGUGAAGAAGGCCUUCGGGUUGUAAAGCUCUUUCGGCCGGAACGAAAUCGCAUCUCUUAGUACGGGGUGUGGAUGACGGUACCGGAAGAAGAAGCACCGGCUAACUACGUGCCAGCCGCCGCCGUAAUAC
rnacentral:rRNA from 1 species